rnacentral:rRNA from 1 species
AUUGAACGCUGGCGGCAGGCCUAACACAUGCAAGUCGAACGAGUGGCGGACGGGUGAGUAAUGGCUGGGAAACUGCCUGAUGGAGGGGGAUAACUACUGGAAACGGUAGCUAAUAACGCAUACCCUCCGAUGUGCCCAGAUGGGAUUAGCUAGUUGGUGGGGUAACGGCUCACAAAGGCGACGAUCCCUAGCUGUUCUGAGAGGAUGACCAGCAACACUGGAACUGAGACACGGCCCAGACUCAUACGUGAGGCAGCAGUGGGGAAUAUUGCACAAUGGGCGCAAGCCUGAUGCAGCCAUGCCGCGUGUAUGAAGAAGGCCUUCGGGUUGUAAAGUACUUUCAGCGGGGAGGCGUUACCCGAAGAAGAAGCCCCGGCUAACUCCGUGCCAGCAGCCGCGGUAAUAC